rnacentral:pre_miRNA from 1 species
CGGUCCUUCCCGGGGCACCUUGCUGAUAGGUAGUCAAGCACGCGAGCUGCCCAGUGAAGGGCUUUC